GGGCCAUUUGAACAACGUUUUCGAUUGGCUGGGAAAGGACAGUACUGGAUCAAAAGAUAGCCUUCCGCCUAUUGGCCCGGAGUUGCUAGGGCUGAGAGCAAAAGUGUAGCCAUUGGCUGGAGGCCAUAGCAGGAAUCUCUACAUUCUCUUUUCCUAGAAGUGCGUGGGGGCUCACGCUUAGAAAUGGUGCAGUGGCGUACGCGCAGUGGCUAGUCUUCUCUCGUUGUUAUCAGAGAAAGAUGAGACUAUGGAAGAAGGGUGAGAGAGAGAUGCAAUGUUGAUGAUUUUGGAGAUAGAGGAAGAAGGCCACAAGUCAAGAAAUGUGGGCAGCCUCUAGAAGAUGAAAAAGGCAAGGAAACAAUCUCCCUUAGAGCCUCUAGAAAGGGAUAUGGCUGUAUUGAUUGAUGCCUGGAUUUCAGACCUCAACAGGCACUGCACGUGCUUCUGCAAGGAGUCCAGGGGUGCCCGGGAGGAUCCUUCUUGGUACGUAUGCAGCCUGGGCUUCUAGCCUGCUGAGAAGAGAGCAGUGUUCCCUGCUACCUCCAGAUGUCUAUACAGCAGCACUGUUUUGCACAUCUCACACCAUCAGAGACUCCAGAGAUUUCACCCUUUUCUAAAUUAAUAGGUAUCUUGGGGCACCUGGGUGGCUCAGUCAGUUAAGUGUCCGACUUUGUCCCAGGUCAUGAUCUUGCUGUUCAUGGCUUCCAGCCCCACGUUGGGCUCUGUGCUGACAGUUCUCCCGGAGCCCACUUAGGAUACUGUGUGUCUCUUUUUACCCCUCCCCCAACUCAUGUACAUGCGCUCGUGCUCUCUCUCUUUCUCUCUCUCUCUCAAAAAUAAAAAAACAUUGAAAAAAAUUUUAAUUAAUAGCCAUCUUUCCCCAGAGCUUUAGCUCAAGUUUCCAGUUGCUGGGACACCAUUAGAUAGAGAAUAAUAUGAUUAAUACACUGUACCAUACUCAAAAUUACUCUGAGAGUCAAAUCUUAUAUUUCAAUAAGCUUCUCUCUCCCUCCCCCCUCACCUCCCUUUCCCUCUCCCUCCCCUGUCUCUUUCCCUUCUCCCCCACCCCCUCUCCCCUACUCCUCUACAGGAUGCUCCUCUGCUGUUGAGGCUUAUAUAGCCUCUAAUAACCAACUCCACCCUGGAAUUUGUGAAACUGAUGAAAUUUAAACAUCAGGUUUUUAUUAUGCCUGUACAGACACUAUGGAUUGUAAGCCAUUCCCCAUGGUUUAUUAAAAUUUUUCUUAUUUUAAACAUUUUAUCUCAAUAAUCACAC